AAAUGUUUGAAUGCUACUUGUCUAAAAGUCCACAGAAUCUUAAUCAGAGGAUGGAUGUUUUUUAUUUGCAACCAGAAUGCUCUAGUUCUACAGAUAGCCCUGUCUGGUAUACGUCUACUUCACUGGACCGAAACACCUUGGAAAAUAUGCUUGUACGGGUUCUUCUAGUAAAAGAUAUUUAUGAUAAAGACAAUUAUGAACUGGAUGAAGACACAGACUAAAAAGGAACGUUGCAGAAGCAAUCGGGAUAAAACAGCAUUAGAUAGUCAUGCUGCUAGAUCUUUAUUAUGGAAAACAUUUCAAGUUUACUCCUUCUGUUUUGAGUUUUGUAGCAGUGUACCCACGCUGGGUAUUACCAUGUAAAUAAUCUGUGAGUGAAAGUUGCCAUUAUUCUAUGUAGUGGUUUUAGGAUACUUAACAAAUACAUUCAAAUUCUUUUUUUAUUAUUAUUUAUUUGAUUAGGUAUGUUUGUAACUUUUUACAUUACAGAAUAUGAAUGAGAAUGUGCCAUGUAUAAUUUUUUUCUUGUAGUAAGAAACAUCCAUAUUGCACAACUCUACUGUUGCAAAGCUUCCUUGGAAGGGGGCUCUUUUACUGGGUUCUUAACCAGAUGGUUGUGUAUGGGUAGCACUACUAAAAGUUUAGAACUUGCAGUGUCUUUCGGAAUUUUUAAAAUAAACUGUAAACUAAUAGGCUGGGGUUUUUGUUUUGUUUUGGGGUUUUGUUUUGUUUGGUUUUACAUUUUAGUUACUGAAGCCUUACAAGGUUAUGUAGAGAGAUACCAUCUUCUGUACCAAAAAUAGACAAGAGAAUGCUGUCAAUAUUGGUGUACUGUAAUGUGAAUCUAUGCUGGUGAAAACAAUUUUUUGUUCCCCUUAUUAAAACCUUAGUGUCCUUUUCUCAUUUGUGGCUUUCUGCAUCACCCAAUCAAUAAAAAACAAAUAUAUAUAUGUAU
rnacentral:lncRNA from 10 species